GAUCAUAGCUCAGGAUGAACGCUAGCUACAGGCUUAACACAUGCAAGUCGAGGGGCAUCAGGGUGUAGCAAUACACCGCUGGCGACCGGCGCACGGGUGAGUAACACGUAUCCAACCUGCUCUUUACUCGGGGAUAGCCUUUCGAAAGAAAGAUUAAUACCCGAUGGCAUAACAUGACCUCCUGGUUUUGUUAUUAAAGAAUUUCGGUAGAGGAUGGGGAUGCGUUCCAUUAGGCAGUUGGCGGGGUAACGG
rnacentral:rRNA from 1 species